GGUUCUUCCAACUCGUUAUAUCAGCUAGGCAGGUUUAGAAGUAUUUUAGGCUCGGCUUAACAACAAUAAACUAAAAGUUUGACCUCAAAUCAGGUAGGACUACCCGCUGAACUUAAGCAUAUCAAUAAGCGGAGGAAAAGAAACCAACAGGGAUUGCCUCAGUAACGGCGAGUGAAGCGGCAAAAGCUCAAAUUUGAAAUCUAGCACCUUCGGUGUUCGAGUUGUAAUUUGAAGAUGGUAACCUUGGGUUUGGCUCUUGUCUAUGUUCCUUGGAACAGGACGUCAUAGAGGGUGAGAAUCCCGUCUGAUGAGAUGCCCAUUCCUAUGUAAGGUGCUAUCGAAGAGUCGAGUUGUUUGGGAAUGCAGCUCUAAGUGGGUGGUAAAUUCCAUCUAAAGCUAAAUAUUGGCGAGAGACCGAUAGCGAACAAGUACAGUGAUGGAAAGAUGAAAAGAACUUUGAAAAGAGAGUGAAAAAGUACGUGAAAUUGUUGAAAGGGAAGGGCAUUAGAUCAGACUUGGUGUUUUACGAUUAUCUUCUCUUCUUGAGUUGUGCACUCGUAUUUCACUGGGCCAGCAUCGAUUCGGAUGGCAAGAUAAUGGCAGUUGAAUGUGGCUUCACUUCGGUGGAGUGUUAUAGCUUCUGCUGAUAUUGCCUGUCUGGAUCGAGGGCUGCGUCUUUUGACUAGGAUGCUGGCGUAAUGAUCUAAUGCCGCCCGUCUUGAAACACGGACCAAGGAGUCUAACGUCUAUGCGAGUGUUUGGGUGUAAAACCCGUACGCGUAA
rnacentral:rRNA from 1 species